CGAGGAAAAUGUAAGAAGAAGAGGAGAAAAAGGAGUAAAAGGGAGGAAAAGUAGAAGAAGAAGAGGAUGGAAAGGGAGGAGGAAGAGGAGAAAAAGAAAGAAGGCAGAGAAAGAAAAGAAAGAAGGUAGAGGAGAAAAAAGGAGUAAAAUGGAUGAAGUAGAAGAGGAAGAGGAUGGAAAGGGAGGAGGAAGAGGAAGAGAAGGGAAGAGGAAGAGGAGGAAGGAGAAAAAUAAAGACAGAGAAAGAAAAGCAAGGUAGAGGAGAAAAAAGGAGUAAAAGAGACAUAGCAGAAGAGGAAGAGGGAAAGGAAAGGGAGGAGGAAGAGGAGGAAAAGGGAAGAGGAGGUGGAGGAGGAAGA